GAGUUCAAGUCUCCCUAUCAGCACCA
rnacentral:misc_RNA from 1 species